UACGGAGGGGGCUAGCGUUGUUCGGAAUUACUGGGCGUAAAGCGCACGUAGGCGGAUUAGUAAGUUGGGGGUGAAAUCCCGGGGCUCAACCUCGGAACUGCCUCCAAAACUACUAGUCUUGAGUUCGAGAGAGGUGAGUGGAAUUCCGAGUGUAGAGGUGAAAUUCGUAGAUAUUCGGAGGAACACCAGUGGCGAAGGCGGCUCACUGGCUCGAUACUGACGCUGAGGUGCGAAAGCGUGGGGAGCAAACAGG
rnacentral:rRNA from 1 species